GAGAAAACAAAAAUUUUAAGUUCAUUAGAACACAUUCAUUCUGUGUCAGAAACCUAUGCUGUGUCAACUAUUUAAUCACAAUCCAAAUUUAGAGCUGAAUCCAGCUUGAAUGUUGUGUCCAUACUUGCCCCAACCGUUCAGGGUUCAACCUCUGCGGUCGUAUAAAGCAACGCCCUGCGGAGCAUCUGGUUGUAUUUUAUUUUAUUUAGUAACCAGCAACCAACAUUAAAGAACCAUAUAAAGGGAUCACUGUUCAUCCUGUUUUUCAACACAUAACUUCUUUCAACGUAAUAUCUUGGAUAUUUGGU
rnacentral:lncRNA from 1 species